UCUCCGCCCGCGCCCCGCUCCCCGCUGCAGCAGGAAGCGCAUUCCGGGAAUGCUUGGCCCAAACUUUUUUUUUUCUCCCCUUCCCGCGGCCUGAGCGAGCGAUGCUGGGAGAUGUAGUCGCCCCGAGUGGACUUACAGAGCUGAGAUCAGAUCAUGGCGCACCCUUGCUGAACAGUCUUCCCAUAACUGCUCACCCUGCCUAGAAUAAAAGCCUGGUUCCCACGACUAAAAUCCAGGCCCAAAUAAGG